GGUGGGUUGGCUUGUCAGGUUGAUUCCGGUAACGAACGAGACCUCAGCCUGCUAAAUAGUAACUUCCGGUUCGCCGGGAGGCAGACUUCUUAGAGGGACUAUUAGCGACUAUCAGCUAAUUGAAGUAUGAGGCAAUAACAGGUCUGUGAUGCCCUUAGAUGUUCUGGGCCGCACGCGCGCUACACUGACGCAAUCAACGAGCCUCCUGGCCUCGAGAGGGCCGGGUAAUCUUGUAAACUGCGUCGUGAUGGGGCUAGAGCUUUGUAAUUAUUGCUCUUCAACGAGGAAUGCCUAGUAAGCGCGAGUCAUCAGCUCGCGU
rnacentral:rRNA from 1 species